CCAGUACUCCUUGGUGGGUUUGGGGCUGAUUUGGGGCUGAUUUUGGGCUCCAUCCUGCAGCUAUGCCGGUCACGGGGCCGGGGCGCGGCUCCUGGACGGGCAGAGCCUCGCCCGCCUCCCCUGCCGGGCCGUGGUUUUGCUCUUCGGCUGCUCCAGCGCCGCCCUGGCCCCGCGGGGAGCGCUCGAGCCCUCGGGCACCGUGCUCAAGUUCGUCCUGGCCGGGUGGUGAGUGCGGGAUUGGGGUUCAGGGUUUGGGAUUGGGGGUUUGGGGGUUGGAGGUCUGGGAUUUCGGGGAUUGGGUGUUUGGGAUUUGGGGUUUGGAGAUUGGAGGGUUGGGGGUUUGGAAUUGGGAGUUUGGGAAUUUGGGGUUUGGGAUUUGGGAGUUUGGAAUUGGGGAUUUGGGGAGCUCUAGAGGGUUCUGAAGGCUCUGGGCUUUCAUGGGGGGCUCUGGAUGCUGAGUUUUGGGGCUCUUGUGACUUUGGGGUGUCUCUUUAUUUUUGGGCAUUCUCCCUGUGCUCACAUCCCCAUUUUGGGGUCUCUCUCAGUAUUUGGGGUCUCUCUCUCUCUAUUUGGGCUCUCACAGCCCCAUUUUGGGGUCUCUCUCUAUUUGGGGUGCAUCUCUCUCUGUAUUUGGGGUGUGUCUGUAUUUGGGGUCUCUCUCUAUAUUUGGGGUGUCUCUCUCUGUACCUGGUAUCUCACACCCCCAUUUUGGGGUCUCUAUAUUUGGGGUGUAUUUCUCUCUCUAUUUGGGCUCUCACAGCCCCAUUUUGGGGUGUCUCUGUAUUUGGGGUCUCUCUCUCUAUUUGGGGUGUCUCUCUCUGUACCUGGGCUCUCACACCCCCGUUUUGGGGUGUCCCCCCGUUUGCAGCCCGCUGGUGCUGGGGAACCUGUGGGACGUCACGGACCGGGACCUGGACCGGCUGGCGCAGGCGCUGCUGCGGGGGUGGCUGGGGGGGGGCCCCGGGACCCCCCUUUUGGGGCAGCUGGCCCAGGCCCGCCAGGCCCCCCGCCUCAAAUCGCUAAUCGGGGCCGCGCCCGUGGCCUACGGGCUGCCCGUCAGCCUCUGCUGAGGGGCCGGGGGGAGUUUGGGGUCCCCCCAUUGCCGGGAGUGAGGGUUGGGGGUCCCUUUGGUGCUUUUGGGGUUCCCCCAUUGCCUGGAGUGAAUUUUCGGGGGGGAUUCCAGUUGUUUUUGGGGUCCCCCCGUUAUUUAUAGGGGAGAACUGGGGGGUGCCCCCAUUGCUUGGGGGGGGCUUUGGGGUCCUCCCAUCACUUUUGGGGUCCACCUGUGCCCUUUGGACUCCCCCGUUUGUUACUUUUGGGGGUCCCCCCAUUACCUCUGGUGACAAUUUCGGGGCUCCCACCCCGUGGGGAUUUUUGGGGCGUCUGAAGGGAGAGGGGAGGGUUGAAACUGCCUUAAUUUUAACAAAAUUUUAACAAGAUUUUUAACGAUAAAUUUGUUUUUAUUUGCCUGUUUUGCAACAAUAAAGCUGCUGCCUCUGCACUGACCCCUCCUGAG
rnacentral:lncRNA from 1 species